GAAGUAUAAGGGCAGUGUUCACGUUGUGCAAGUAUUUAAGAGAAUGUAUAAAGACAAAAAUCCUACUUUCAUGGAUAUAAAUAGUUUCUUAAAGUAGCUGGAAGGGGAAAAAUAAUCUAAAAUACGAAAUGCAGCAUGGUCGCCAUAUUGUAAACUGUGCCAAGGUUAUACAAAUUGUAGUUGUUAUUGAUCAGAGUUUAAUUAUUUCAUCAUUUUUACUUUAAUAGGGGAUAAUGAAUGUCAGAAAAUCUGUAAUGUUUUAUUUGAAAGAUGUAAAUAAUGUAUAUAGACUUAUAUGUGAUGGGAUGGGGGAAGUAUUUAAAUUCUAGGUUUUUUUUUAAAAGGAAGAAACUGAAUGUUUAUAAGAAAAUUAAUAAAUAGUUACUAUGUUUGGCCAUGAAAAAAAAAAGUGCUCC
rnacentral:lncRNA from 1 species